rfam:Echinops telfairi cont1.559143, whole genome shotgun sequence.
UGUGUAGAAAUGAACUCUCGUCCGACUCUCAAAGGAAUUAUAUUUUGGGCAAAAUGUGCCAAUGUAAAGAGUUAGAAGAUUAGCGUUUCAUAAUGAAAGCAAUGUAUUCUUUGACAUGGAAAUAGAAAUAUAAUAAAUGUCCUGCAGGUGAGAGGGGCUGUACCAAUUUUAUUGAAGAUUAAAGUUUGAUUGACCUUUGUGAGGGUGAUUAACCCCUGUGAAAUUAAAAAGCCAGAGCUGAAUGAUUCUGUCCAAUUAAAAUGCAAA